AGUUCAGCACUAAGUCACUUUGUCUUUAUGGCAAAUGUGAGAUGCAGUGUAUGGAAUGUCAAAUUUCUAGUAUGAGAAAUUAAUCGAUUUAAGUCCUUCUUAAAUGAGGCCAUUUACCCAAAGAGGGUGCCAGGCCCGUAUAAGAUUAAUGAUUACUAGAUGGCAUUUCCAAAGAGUCGUGUUGCUUGAUAGUGCAGCACUAAGUGGGUGGUAAACUCCAUCUAAAACUAAAUAURACCAUGAGACCGAUAGUAAACAAGUACCGUGAGGGAAAGUUGAAAAGAACUCUGAAUAGAGAGUUAAAUAGUACGUGAAACUGCUUAGAGGUUAAGCCCGAUGAACCUGAAUAUUCAUUUAGAAAAGUCAUCACUAUCAUUAGUUAAUAUGUACCCAAUCAUAUUUGUUGACUAGUGUGCAUUUUUUCUAUAAUGGACAUUGUGAUCUAUUAACUUAUAUUUAUCAUACGAUCAUUUAGCGCAAGUUUAUACGAAUUAUUUUGCUUGCAAUUUAACAUGAUAUAAAUGCUAUUGAUUCGAUAAAGUGUUACUAGAUAUAUUAUAUAUGGUGCUUAAAUAUAAUUUUUUUUUUUAAAAAAUAUAUUUUAUAAUAGCAUAUUAAUCAUUGAUUUUUAUGUUUAUUUAUAUGCACUUAUAUGAUCAACAAUGCAAAAGAUUCAGGAUACCUUCGGGACCCGUCUUGAAACACGGACCAAGGAGUCUAACAUAUUUGCAAGUUAUUGGGCAUAAAAGCCUAAUAGCGCAAUUAACGUAACUUCUAACAUACACAUAAAGGGAUUAGUUUAUAGCACUAUUUUAUUAUAGUCUAUUAAUUCAAUCCCGGGGCGUUCUAUUAGUUAUGUAUAAUAAUAUUUAUAUUAUUUAUACCUCUAACUAGAGCGUACCUUGAGCAUAUAUGCUAUGACCCGAAAGAUGGUGAAC
rnacentral:rRNA from 1 species